rnacentral:rRNA from 1 species
AUGGAAGCGAACGAGGAUCAGUGCGAGCUCACCCUCCACUCAUCGCCGUCGUCGGUGCGGGAGCCCCCCGGCUUGUUCCUCUGCGUCUACUGCGGCCGCAGCUUCUACAACUCGCAGGCGUUCGGUGGCCACCAGAACGCGCACAAGGAAGAGCGCCGCCUGGCCAGGCGCCGCGGGGAAAUGGCCGCCGCCAGGCGCGUGCAUGCAGCGUCGCUGUCAUCGUCCGCGCCUUCUUCUCACGUCGCGGCGACGGCGAUGCUCAGCGCUGAGGACCAUGCGGCCGGUCCUGCGGCUAAGAAGACGAGGAUGGAGAUCCAGCUGGAGCGCGGCAGGAGCUUCCCGGAAUACGAUGGCGCGCGUACGGGCGAUGGGCUGGAUUUGUCUCUCCGGCUGUGA